rnacentral:rRNA from 1 species
CGCGGCCUAUCAGCUUGUUGGUGGGGUAACGGCCUACCAAGGCGAAGACGGGUAGCUGGCGUGAGAGCGUGACCAGCCACACUGGGACUGAGACACGGCCCAGACUCCUACGGGAGGCAGCAGUGGGGAAUAUUGCGCAAUGGGCGAAAGCCUGACGCAGCGACGCCGCGUGGGGGAGGAAGGCCCUCGGGUUGUAAACCCCUGUCAGAUGGGACGAACCACAGGCCGGCGAAUAGGCGGCUUGUCUGACGGUACCAUCAGAGGAAGCUCCGGCUAACUCCGUGCCAGCAGCCGCGGUAAUACGGAGGGAGCGAGCGUUGUUCGGAAUCACUGGGCGUAAAGGGCGCGUAGGCGGCCGCGUAAGUCGCGUGUGAAAGGCCGGGGCUCAACCCCGUGUACUGCAUGCGAUACUGCGCGGCUUGAGAAAGGUAGAGGUGAGCGGAAUUCCCGGUGUAGCGGUGGAAUGCGUAGAUAUCGGGAAGAACACCAGUGGCGAAGGCGGCUCGCUGGGCCUUUUCUGACGCUGAAGCGCGAAAGCGUGGGGAGCAAACAGGAUUAGAUACCCUGGUAGUCCACGCCGUAAACGCUGGGUACUAGGUGUUGGGAGGAUUGACCCUUUCAGUGCCGACGCUAACGCAUUAAGUACCCCGCCUGGGGAGUACGG